UACGGAGGGUGCAAGCGUUAAUCGGAAUUACUGGGCGUAAAGCGUGCGUAGGCGGUUCGUUAAGUCUGCUGUGAAAGCCCCGGGCUCAACCUGGGAAUGGCAGUCGGAUACUGGCGAGCUAGAGUGUGAUAGAGGAUGGUGGAAUUCCCGGUGUAGCGGUGAAAUGCGUAGAGAUCGGGAGGAACAUCAGUGGCGAAGGCGGCCUCUGGAUCAACACUGACGCUGAGGCACGAAAGCGUGGGGGAGCAAACAGGG
rnacentral:rRNA from 1 species